rnacentral:ncRNA from 1 species
AAACUGAAAAGGCAAACCUGUUGAAAAGCAGGGACGCAAAGUUAUGGGCCUGUCCGCACGAAUGCGAAUGGCUGCCAGACUGCCAGG